rnacentral:rRNA from 1 species
CCUACGGGAGGCAGCAGUGGGGAAUCUUGCACAAUGGGGGAAACCCUGAUGCAGCAACGCCGCGUGAAGGAAGAAGGUUUUCGGAUUGUAAACUUCUGUUCUCAGUGAAGAAUAAUGACGGUAGCUAAGGAGCAAGCCCCGGAUAACGACGUGCCAGCAGCCGCGGUAUUAGGUAGGUGGCAAGCGUUGUCCGGAAUUACUGGGUGUAAAGGGAGCGCAGGCGGGAAGCCAAGUCAGCUGUGAAAACUACGGGCUUAACUUGUAGAUUGCAGUUGAACCUGGUUUUCUUGAGUGUAGUAGGGGUUGGCGGAAUUCCGAGUGUAGCGGUGAAAUGCGGAGAUAUUCGGAGGAACACCGGUGGCGAAGGCGGCCAACUGGGCUUUAACUGACGCUGAGGCUCGAAAGUGUGGGGAGCAAACAGGAUUAGAUACCCUUGUAGUC